GUGGGGAAUUUUGGACAAUGGGCGCAAGCCUGAUCCAGCAAUGCCGCGUGCAGGAAGAAGGCCUUCGGGUUGUAAACUGCUUUUGUACGGAACGAAACGGUCCGGGUUAAUACCCUGGGCUAAUGACGGUACCGUAAGAAUAAGCACCGGCUAACUACGUGCCAGCAGCCGCGGUAAUACGUAGGGUGCAAGCGUUAAUCGGAAUUACUGGGCGUAAAGCGUGCGCAGGCGGUUUUGUAAGACAGGCGUGAAAUCCCCGGGCUCAACCUGGGAAUUGCGCUUGUGACUGCAAGGCUGGAGGGCGGCAGAGGGGGAUGGAAUUCCGCGUGUAGCAGUGAAAUGCGUAGAUAUGCUGAGGAACACCGAUGGCGAAGGCAAUCCCCUGGGCCUGCACUGACGCUCAUGCACGAAAGCGUGGGGAGCAAACAGGAUUAGAAACCCUGGUAGUCC
rnacentral:rRNA from 1 species